rnacentral:rRNA from 1 species
AUUGAACGCUGGCGGCAUGCUUUACACAUGCAAGUCGAACGGCAGCGCGGGGCAACCUGGCGGCGAGUGGCGAACGGGUGAGUAAUAUAUCGGAACGUACCCAAGAGUGGGGGAUAACGUAGCGAAAGUUACGCUAGUACCGCAUACGAUCUAAGGAUGAAAGUGGGGGAUCGCAAGACCUCAUGCUCCUGGAGCGGCCGAUAUCUGAUUAGCUAGUUGGUGAGGUAAAGGCUCACCAAGGCGACGAUCAGUAGCUGGUCUGAGAGGACGACCAGCCACACUGGGACUGAGACACGGCCCAGACUCCUACGGGAGGCAGCAGUGGGGAAUUUUGGACAAUGGGCGCAAGCCUGAUUCAGCAAUGCCGCGUGAGUGAAGAAGGCCUUCGGGUUGUAAAGCUCUUUUGUCAGGGAAGAAACGGCUGAGGAUAAUACCUUCGGCUAAUGACGGUACCUGAAGAAUAAGCACCGGCUAACUACGUGCCAGCAGCCGCCGUAA